rfam:Myotis lucifugus cont2.41722, whole genome shotgun sequence.
GCCACUUUGGCUCAGUGGAUAGAGCGUUGGUCUGUGGACUGAAGGGUCCCAGGUUUGAUUCUGGGAAAGGGCA